rnacentral:lncRNA from 1 species
AACAUUUCUACAUCCAUGAUUAAAUGGUUUCAAGUCAAGGCCAUAUGCAAUUGCAGCUGCAGUAGGCUCAUUGAGUAUUCGCAAAACAUUGAGGCCAGCAAUAGCACCCGCAUCUCGAGUAGACUGGCGUUGUGAGUCAUUAAAGUAUGCAGGCACAGUUAUAACAACAUCCUCCACUAUUGAUCCAAGGAAGGUUUCUGCUAUCUCGCGCAUUUUCACCAAUACCAUGGAUGAGAUUUCUUCAGCAGCAAAAUGUUUUUCCUCGUCAUUAUAGUUAACAACAAUCAUGGGUUUGUCAUUCAGGUCACCAAUUACUUUGAAUGGCCACAACUUCACAUCACUUUGUACUAUGGGAUCACUAAAUUUCCGACCAAUUAGCCUCUUUGCAUCUACAAAACAAAAGAGAGUUGUGUACACUAUGAAAAACAAUUGGAUCGCUUUAUGAAUUAAUCAUUCUAUGUGGAUUUGAAUAAAUCCAUAUAUAUAUAAAUAGGAUAACUUUAAUAUAUAUAGCUUGUAUAGAAAAUACUAUUAUAUAUUUAACCCCGUAAGUAAUACAAUCUUGGGAUUUUGGUCCCUUAUAAAAAACAAUAACAAAUCAGCUCCUAUGUUUAUCCUCUUUUGCACUUUUGGCCUUCCGACCAAUUUUAAUCAAAUUAAUGCAUAUGUGACACCCAUAUCACUUUAUUUAUUAGGUUUAAUUGCAGUUUUUCCCCCUAAGUAUCAUAAUCUUGCGAUUCUGGCCCCUUAAAAAAAUAUAAAGUCACACGUGGCACCCCCUUUAAAUGAUAUGUGGCCAAAAUCGUAAAAUUGUGAUAUUAAGGGAUCAAAAUUGAAACUAAGCCUAAUAUGUAUUGUUACAACGUGAAAUAACUUUUUAUUGGAUAUUUUCAUUACAAAGAGAACUCUUUAUUUUGCUUAUGAACUCGUGGGAUACACAAAAAUUGUAUUAUCAUGUAUAAAAAUAAAACUAGUACUAAUCUAUCACGUCUUUGAAUGAACUUUGAGUUAAAAUACUCUUAUUAAAAAAAAAAUCAUAUAUAUAAGCCACAGUUGCAUAAUUCUCUUACAAAAUAAUCAUGCAUGUGUUUUCUUAAAAAUUUAGUAGAAAGUAACGAACAUUGUCGAUAUGCUCAUGAACUUUACUAAUAAUUUUGUUAAGCUUUUGAAGAUCUAUUAAUAUAAAAUAAUAGUGGUCAUUCAUCAUGAGUUAUUGCUUUAAAAAAAACAAAGAACCAAAACUUUCAAUAAUCUUUACUUCUAAUUUUCAUAUCAGAUAGAUUAUUGAAAAGAAAUAUUUAGUUUCUCUUCUUGUUAAUUUCUUUAUAUUGUAAUAGAACCGAAAAUACAUAUUAAUAAAAAAUAUAUCAAAUACACCUACUAAUACUAUCACACUUCAAAAAAUAACCGAAAAUACAUACUACUAAAAAAAAAGGAUUAAAUAUGUUUUUUAGUCCCUAUAAAUAUACCAUAUUUUUUUAAUAUUAAAUGAGUCCUCGUAUAUUUUCUCAUAAAAAUUACUCAACUUUUUAUUUUCUUUAAAAAAAAUGAGUAACCUAUUUCACUAUAUUUUAGCGUUAUAAAAUAAAAAGUUAUAAUAUGUAGUAACAAAUUUAAUCAUAAAAUAUUUGCAACAAACUAAAGUUGGAUGACGUCUUCAAAAUAACUAAAGAGUGCAACAUCAUAGUUUGUAACUCUAACAUGUUUUGAUUUUUAAUAUAGAGGAUGUGUCAAUUUUAAAAAUUUGACUUUGAUUUUCAAUAUAGAGGAUGUGUUGUAUCAAUUUUAGAAAUUAGACUUGAUUUAUAACAAAAACAUAUUUUUAAAAGAAAGAUUAUAACCAAAACCUUUGUUAUUCUCCUUCCUCCCUAUGAGAAUGAGAAUGAAAAUAAAAAUAAAAAUAUGAACAUUAUUGGGUAAGUAAGUUUAUUGGAUCAAUGUCUGGUUUUACUCAAAACCCGUUAUUUUUUUUUUAUAGAUUUUUCAUUUUUUAAAACCAUAUCCACUCAAUCAUCCAACCCAUUUUUUUGGAUGGAUUUGAGGGAUUUUUUUGGGUUGACUCAACCCAUUUAAUAUACACCCAUAAAACCAUAAGGAAAGGCAUAAAAUUAUUACUCCCUCCGUCCCAAAUUGUAUGUCACUUUAGAAAAAAUAUUUGUCCCAAAUUGUAUGUCGCUUUACAAUACCAAUGAAAAAUUAAUGUUACUUUUCCUAUUAUAUCCUUAACUAUUUAUUACUCUCUCUUCUUUCAAUUCCUUCAUUUAUCUUUCUCAUAUCAUUUAUUGAGGAUAAUUUUGUAAAACAACUCAUAAUAUCUCUUUCCCACACAAUAUUAAUUACAUUUCUUAAUAUGUGUGAAAUGCCCAAAACGUCAUGCAAUUUGGGACGGAGGGAGUAAAUGUAUAACAUCUAUCGAGACAAAAUAUGAUAGUUUACCUCUAUCAGAUAAAAUUAAUUGCACUAUUCUUAAUAAUUACUACUCCCUCCGUUCCAAAUUGUAUGUUGCUUUAGGGAAAAAAAUUUGUCCUAAAUUGUAUGUCGCUUUACAGUUACUUUUUCUAUUAUAACCUUAACUAUUUAUUACUCUAUCUUAUUUCAAUUCUUACAUUUAUUUUUCUCAUAUUAUUUAUUAAGUACAAGUUUGUAAAACAACUCAUAAUAUCUCUUUUCCACACAAAAUUAAUUAUAUUUCUUAAUAUAUGUGAAAUGCCCAAAACGUCAUACAAUUUGGGACGGAGGGAGUAAUAUUUAUGUAUCAUAACCCCUUUCAAAAAAGAUAUUUCUGUAUCUUAAUAAUUAAAAUUUCUAUUUAUUUAAAUAUAAUUAAAUUUAAUUCAUUUUAAUAUAUGAAUUUUCUGCCAAUUUUUUUAUAAUAUAUCAAGUAGAUAUAACACUUAUGUUCCCACACCUACGCUUCACUCUUCUUUCAUACUAGUAUAUUUUAUUUUUUAUUUCACCCUUUUCUCUCCUUUUAUAGAAAAUUAUCAAAGAAUUCGAUUAAAGUACGAUCCAUGAAAGAUGAAUCUUCCAGAUCGUUUACUGUCACUGUUUGACCGCAUGUUCUUCCUAUUCUCUUCCGACAUUUUUCUACCAAAACAUGUUUUAUGAAAGCAAACUACCUUUUGUUUUUGGAAUGAGAAAGGAACUACCUUUGAAAUGGGUUAUUUUUAUGUGUUUGAUAUAUUUUCAACCAGUGAAAACCACCUUUAGACACAACUCCACCACCACUAAAUUCCUCUUCUACAAUUUAAUUUCAUGAACAUUUGGAAUGUACUCACUUCGAUUACUAUUAUAAAUAAAAAUCAAUUUUUUAGAUUCAUUUAUUAAAUUAUGUAUUUGAUCUAUAAUUAGUAAAGUCAAGAAUAAUUGAGUUUAGAAGCUUUUACCGAAAAUAGUGUUUGUUGGGUUCGAAGCAGCUAUAUUGAAAGCAGCAUCACCAAUCAUUCUUUCAGAGUCUUUGAAUGCAACAAAAGAAGGUGUUGUUCUCUUCCCUAGGUCGUUCACUAUUAUAUCUAUCUCUCCAUUCUUACACACUGCAACACAAGAAUAGGUUGUUCCUAGGUCGAUUCCUAUUGCUACUUUCUUACCUCUUCCUGACAUUUCUUUCUUUGCAAUCACUCACAGGUAACAAAGUUUUGAGUAGAAAAUAUAGAACGAUGAGUUUUGAGAAUAAAUUGUUGUUUGAGCUGUUUCAUUAAAUGUAAAGAUUUGUGCAUAUAUAUAAUAAUAUUAGUCUUACUAUCACAAAGUAGUACGUGUAAAAUUUCAACAUUCUCUCAACUUAUAAGUGAAUAACAAAAGUUUAAUAUAUAUUUUUUUUAAAUAGACAAAAUGACAAAGUCAUCAUAAACUCGCAUACACGAAGUAGAAAUAUUAGGAUUCGAACCCCAGUUAUAACGUCUGACCUAACAAAAAGUAGAAAUAUUGGGAUUCGAACCCCGAUUAUAACGUCUGACCUAACAAUUUGUCAUUUUUUGCUAGUUGAACUAUGACUUAUGUGACACAAAAGUUUAGUAUUUUUUUUUUUUAUUUGUCGAGAAAAGUUUAGUAUUCUACUAAUUGAUAAAUGCUAAAAUAUAGCCAUGGGCACUUAUUAGCAUAUGACCCUUGAUAAAUUAAAAUCACUCAAAAAUAGAAGGAUUCAAAUUAUUCAAUUAAUAAUAUUUUUUCCGUCUCAAAUUAUAAAUCCUUUUAAAAAAAAAUUGUUUUAAAUUAUAAAUCAUUUCAUAAUACCAAUAAAACGUUAAUUUAAUUUUUCAAAUUAUAAUUUAAACUAUUUAUUAAGUAUUUUUAUAUCUAAUAAUUUUUUAUACUAUUUUUUCGAGGGACAAAUGAGUCAACAAAAUUGUUGUAUCUAUUUUAUAAUAUGUACUAAAUACAUUAAUAUUUAUUGAUCUAUUUUUCUCUUACAAAAAGAUCAACAAAAGUGUUUAUUAAGGAGAUUAUUAGAAAUGUCCUAAGCAUAUCACUUUCAGCUAGAAUUUAAAUAACCUUAUCGUUUUGAAAUAACAUAAAGUUAUUGAUGUUCUAUAGUAAUUUAUUUGGUGAUAAGCAUAUCAAGUGAGGUAGGAGAGAUGCAUCAUAUCAGUGAGCUGUAGGCAAGUGGAUAAGUUGAUUUUAAAGCAUAUGAUUAUUUGGGGUGUACAACAUCACGUCAAUUGGAGCCUCAUCUUUUGAGGAAAUAUCAGUCUUAUCUUAUGUUAUCUUUUGGAUUGAAUGAGACCCAUAUACCCAAGUAGUCUUAUGUUAUCUUAUCAAAAUGACUCCAUCAACCAAUAAACAUUCAUUAAAAGCCUUACCCAGUGGCCCUCAUCCAACAAAUAUUCUUUUAUGAACACAAUUUCUCAUUAGAAAAAACACAGAUUUAUUUUUAAAUAAAAAAAUGAAACUUUUCCUUAGUACAAACAAUCCAACCACACACUGUCCAAUCCAACCACACACUACAAUACGAAUGAAUUUUCACUUUAUCCAACAACUGAUCAAUACUGUUUUUCUUGUGGCUAAAUAGUCUAUUAUUAUGUUCCACAUGAAAGACAAAUGAGCUGCAUAAAAGAUCGCUGCGCAACCAACCCACCUGUAGAAUAAGUAAACUGAACAAAAUGACCAGAAAUACUAUAAGGAUCGGUCAUGGAAACACCUAUCCAAUCACGGACUAAAUGCCAAAGAUCCCUGAUAAUUGUACGAGAAAGAAAUAAAUAUUGAGCCGUUUCGAUUUCUCCACACCUGGUCAUACACAAAUGCGUGUCAUGAUUUAGGAUUCCAUGCAUCACCAAAUUUUGGACAAUACCGUUGCCUAAGGAAGAAAGGAGUGUCGAAGGAAGAAUUCAACCUGAAGGUUGAAAAUCAGAAGGAAAUUAAGAAGCCUUAAGGACAGGGGCUACCGAGCACAAGUUAGACAUAUCUGUCAAGCUCAUGACAUAAAAAACGCGCUCAAUAGGAGACAACCUAUUCCGUCAAGCUAAGGACUCAAAAGAAGCGUUGAAUAUAAGACAACUUAUUGAUCGUCGGGACUAAGACAUUAAACAAUCGCUAAAUGGGAGGCAACCCAUUAGUUUAUCUUUUCUGCAUUUCUAUUUUUUGCUAAGUUAUGAUUUCCUAACUAAUGUCAUUUCUUAUUCUGCUACUAAUACUUAAGUUUUAUCUUAUAAAAUUGUAUUUUUUUUUUUUUUUUUGCAUUUACAAAUACAACAAUUUCUUUUAUGCUUUAAUUUUGUUUUAGUUUUAGGAAGUCACUUCAAAGUGUUCACAGUGGAGGCUAGUUUACUUCAAGAGCACAAUACUUUUUGGGGCUUGCUACUGAAGGUACUUAUAGGAUCAACAUCUCUUUUCUGAAUGCUAUUUUUUCUCGAAUUUGCUGUCGUUCUUUACGGACGAUCAGUUAAAAUAUAAUAAACAUAAGACAUUUUUUUCUUUGGUACCUUGAUACUUUCAAGCCACCCUUUUUAUAUUCUUAUUAUCCUUUUUGAAACCACUUUGAGCCUUCAGAAGAUAUUUCUUUCUUAUUACUAAGUGACGAAUCAUGUCACAGUCCUGAACUUUAAAAUCACCUUGUUUGAUUUCUCUUGGAGUUAGAUAUGAUAUUAUCUUGACUGUGUAUGGUUUGAUGCUUAGUUUGACGUUGCUCUUUGGAAUUAACAACAUUUUAUGUUUGGGGUGGGGUAAUGAUGGUCGGAUUAGGCAAGUGUACCCAAUCGUUUACCGAGUACUAAAGUGAUAAGUAGAGUAUCGUAUCCACAUGGGUUGUCGUUUCUUCGAAAUAAUUCGUGUUACUUAUUUUAAAUUGACGAUAUAAAAUAAAAGAGAUAAGGGUUAGAAAUUGCAAUUUUUAUAAGUUUGCAACAUAGCAAGUUACCUGUUUUUUGUUACAUAAAAGGAAACAGCGGUUAGGACUCUUUAAAUCCCCUCUAUUUACUUUGUUGGAUAUUGAAUAACAUUCAUUAAUAGACUAUACAAGUGAUGAGAUUGUUGGGACAUUCUAGCCUAAUCGGUUGUCAAGUUGCACCUGCUUAUCGCACAGUGAUCCUUACGUGUGGGGUCUAUACUAUCUCGGUUGAUUUAGGUUUAUCCCUCUGAUGGCUAACUGCACUUGACGAUCGCACAGUGAUCCUUACGUGCGGGGUCUUGCUAAUUCAAAGGUAAUUGAAACAUAUACUUAAAUUGGCAUUCCAGGUUUUCCAAAGGCAAUGAAGGCCAAUGUUGCAGUAGGUCAGCCCAUCUGUUAAUCUUAGGACACUCAUAACACACUCUCAUUUUCCCCUAAGUAGUUAUACAAACGAGCAGCCCUAUCAACAUCUACCUUACCUAGAGGUCGGGGACAAUGGUUUUAUUUAGGUUUAUUUCUCUUGGUGUUUGUUUCCCUAAUUACUAAACUAGCUACAUCCGAGGUUCAACAUAUUUUACUCAAUAUUAAUAAUGUCACAUCCUAAGUACCUACUACUAGGGUCAACUCUCUUUUGGUAUCUUUCGCUAGUUUACUAAUCAUCUACUUUCUAGACGGAUAAUUACUAGUAUAAGGAAAUAAAUAUCAAGAUAUAAGCAUCCAGAUAGUAAUAGAAAUGUCAAGCCCUCUCACGAAGUAAGUAUCUAAUCUAGGGUUGCACCCCGCCAUAAUAUAUUAAUCUUAAGCAAAACUUAACAGCAAAUAAAAAAUAUAUUAAAAUAAAAUGACAUUAAAUUAAAUAAUUAUCCAACAAACGCAAACCGAUGUUCAUCUUAGAACCCUAACCUAUAGAUAUCUAGUUACACAUGAUAACUAAGACAAAAAUACAAAAAGAUAAAAAUAUAUCCUAGAAAAUAUAGGAGAAGAUAUAACUCCUCCUUGACUCCUAUAAUAGCCUUCCUAUUGAACUGCUCAAGUUCUGAACGAGAAAUUGUGAAUGAGGAAGACUAUAUUUGUAUAGAAAGUUUUCACCUAACUUGGACUAAAAUCACAAACUUCUAGGGACGAAAAAGUCACGAAAAAUGAUUUUUUUCGCAAAACUCAUGUGUCCCGCGCCUAGAGUCAUGCGCCUAGCGCAUGUGCCUGGAUCUUUCAUGCGCCAGGAGCUUACAAAUUGCUAUGAAUGUGGCAAGUCUUAUAAAAGCUAAUCUUAUUAUCUAAUCCUAAACUACAAUGCAAACAAAACAUCAAAAACCCUAAUCCUAUGUUUUGAGUGGGAAACUAAUGCUUUAACCUCACUUAAUGCCAUUUUUGAAUUUCAAAUCAUGUACCCUUUUGGAAUGUGUGCUCAUGUGGCUAAUUAAAUGCAGAUUUUGAAAUUCAAAUAUCCCACCUAUUGGAAUUGUGCUCCCUUCUUUCCAAGACAUGCAGUUACCCACUUCCCAAUGCAAAGGAAUCUGAACCAAACAACUACUUCCUUGCAUUUUGCUCUCUCUCCCCUUUCACGCCCAUUUUUCUCUCUGUUCAGAAAAAGUCAUCAAUUUUCAGUCCCUCUUAUCUUCUCUCUCACUUCAGUUCCUCUCUAAAAAAAGCAUCUUCUCUUCUCACACUUUAUUUCUUUUCUUCAUUUUCCGACAUUCUUCUUCAAUUCUCCCUUUCUCUCUCAUUGUUUCUCGCAUGGCUCUUCGUGUCUUAGGUUUGGGUGUUCUCUUCAUCGCCGGCCAGCCUCACCAAGGCAAUAAGCAUCUUCAAGUUUUAUUGAAGGAAAAUGCUUCUAUGCAACAAAAUUUAUAUGAGCUUCGAUCCCUCGGGUAUGCGUUUUCAGUUUCGUUACAUUUUGAUAUCGUGAUUAGGGUUUUGGUAUCACUGGUGUUAUUUUGAUUGAUUUUUCCGAUUUGAUAGGAAGGGAGCUUGAAGAAGCGGGAGUUCUUAGUGAAUCGGCACAGUCGCGGAAGGUUUUUCUUUUCAUCAACGAUCUUCUCUCUCAUUCGCUGCUCUUCGAAUGUAGUGUUUAAAGAAAUUUUUUGAAAUGUGUAGACACGAAAAACUUCCAUUAUUAUUAAAUUUAAAGUUAUGACAUUUGAAAAUAUGUGAUGUAUUUUUGUUUUUCUCUAAUACAUUUACAUUGCCGCACGGAUGAAAAGUCUAGAUCGACCACCCUUGCCUAAAAUUUUUGUAAUUUACCAGCAUGAUUUUUUCCCUUUUUAAAUUGUAUUAUUAUUUUUUAACAUUGUAUUUGCACAAACAGAUUAUUAGUUACAAUAUAAUUAAAUGUUUUUUUGCCAUCAAUAUGACCCGUGCAGCAGCACGGGUGCAAGGUCUAGUAGCAAGCAAUCCUACAAGUUGAAAGGAAAGACAAGAGGAUGAAGGCUGACAUUUCAUGGGUAGAUGAAACUAUGGAAGCUUUUAGAAAAAUAAUUUCUCAAAAAAAUUAUCAUGCAUCUCAUGUAAAUGAGCAUAUUGUAUAUAAGUAUAUUGAAUCUUCUAAGGUUUUAUUUUUUAUUUUUUUAGGGAUGAAUCUUCUAAGGGUUAUCAUAAAUUUUUGGAUGUCGAAUAUUGUGAUGGUUUUACUAGCAUACAUAAAGAGAUAUUAUCAUUAAAAAGCAAACAAGAACACGCCUAUAAACCUCAAAUAGAAUUUGCUACGAAGUCAAAUGGUGUUACACCUUCUUUUAAAAAACCUUACAAGAAAUACUCUUAUGUUAAAAAUAUUGAUAGCAAAUCCUAUGUCAUUAUUGUGGUAAAAUGGGACACACCACACUUCAUUCUUACAUUAUAAAAAUUGAAGUUUUUAAGGCUUUGUUUGAGAGUUUGGAAGGGAAGGAAAGGAAGGGCUUUGAGGGGUGCAAAAUAUGAGGAUAAAUAGAGAAAUUCUUCAAAAUUUUUAAAAGAGUAGUUUUUUAGAUAAUGAUAAAUUAAUGCAUAUGAUUACUUUAUUUUUAAUUUUAAAAAUAUUAUGACAACAUAGAUUAAAUUUGAAGAAGGGUUUUGUAUUAUGGAGAAAAGUUAACCAUAAUGAGGAGGGUCUUAUUAACCCUCCAAAACCCUCUACCAAUACAAUUCUUUAGUUCCUCCAAAUGAGGAGGGUUUUGUAUUAUGGAGAAAAGUUAACCCCCCAAAGCCCUCCUUCCCAUUUUCCUCUAUUUCUUCUACUUGCUCAUUCCUUUUUUCCCAAGCCUUCCCCUCCAAACUCGUAAACAAAACCUAAAGAAAUCAUGAUGUCAGUCACAAAGGGGUAAAGAUCCCCUCCAUUUAUAAAAAGAAAUAGAAGAUACAAUUUGAAAAGAGAUAAACACAAAAAAUAGUUGUUGAGUCUCAAUACUAAGUGGAUUCCACCAUCAUUAAUUAUUUUUUACUUUUUGUGUAUUUUUAUCUCUCUAAAUGGAACUAAUGAAAAAAAUUAUAAAUGAAGAAGAUCUUAACCCGUCACAAAGAGUCCCAUUUAUACAACCACAAAAAGGAAAUAUUUUUGCUCUUUACCCAACAAUUUUUGCUCAUUCCCAGCUGAAAUGCCACUACUUGAGUUAACUCACGUUAGUGUAAAAUUUGUGUGAGUUAAAACAUGCAGUGUGAGUUAACUCACGUUUAGUAAUAUGAUUUUUUUUUUUUUCCGAAUUUAUUUAAUAAUACGCAAGGAAGGAAGGAAGAAAGGAACAUAAAUAAUACAAAAUAUUAUUUAGAUGACAAAAUCAUAAAAUAAAUGCUAAUAUAAAUAAAUAAAAAGGAAGAAAGGAACAUAAAUAAUACUUAUAAAACCUCAUUUUAUUAAUUAUUGAUACAUUUACAAAAAUUGUUACAUUUUAUUCGAAAUUAUUAAAUCUGAAUCUUUGAGGUAAAAAGAGACCAACCAUGGGAUAACAGAGAAUCAAUGUUGGGGAAAAAAGAGACCAACCUGCUUGGGGCAAAAGGAUAUCAAUCCUUGAGGUAAAUCUAAAUCUGGUUUUUUUUGAUACCCCAAGAAAGAGUCUUUUUACCCACGGUAAAAAAAAUUUGGGGUAAAAAGAAGCAAAUUUACUUUUACCCCAAGGGUUGACCUCUUUGUGCCGCCAAAUCGGUUGGCCUAUUUUUUCCCCUCCCUUGACCUUUUUUUACCCCUCGAUUGACCUCUUUUUACCCCGAAAAAAGCUAAAAAAACAAAGACUAUAAAGGUGAGAGAGUGAGGAGGAGGAGAGAAUGUAUGGUGUGAGGAAAUUGUGAGUUUUGGAGGGGUAUUUAUAGGGAGGAAUGGGUAACGUAGGUUUUAUAUGCACUAAAUGCAGUCAAAAAAGUUAAAAAAAAAAGUGCAAAAAUGGAUUAAAAUCAAGGUUGAAUAACUAACCACCGUCCAAAAAACGUGUUCUUGGUGCAUGAAAAAUCGGCCACAAUAGCGUGAGUUAACUCACGCUAGUGUUAUAAUCUGCGUGAGUUAACUGAAGAUUUGCAUUUCCCCUAUAAAUAUUCUUUCAACCUUCACCAUUUGUCACAUUCUCUCCUCCUCACUCUCUCCUCCUCUUCCUUCUCCGAUAUUUGCAUUCAUUUUGUAGAUAUAUCUCAAAAACAGGGUGAUGCUGCUCAAUUAAAAAAAGAGGGCGAGAAAAAGAAAGCUAAGUCGACUUUGACAUGGCACGAAAUCAAAUGUGAUGGUUCCGUUAAAAAAAGUGAUUUGAAACCAUUCCAGACUGAGGAGGAGCGGAAUGACAUGUUAUUUUGGUCCUCAACCAAAAGCAGGUGCCACUAGGAUUGUCGAGGACAACCCAAUUGACUUAAGCGACGAAGGAGAUAAUUAAUGUAAUGACUUGUAAUAAAGUUGGAUGUUUUUCUACAUUCCUUUCUAAUGUAAUGGCUUGAAUAAUUUUGAAUAAAGUUGCGUUUUGAUUUAAAUUACGUAUUAACUAACUAACACUAGCGUCAAUACACAGAAAACAUAACUAGUGUGAGUUAACUCACUCAGGGAUAAUAUGGUCUUUUCAGUUGGGAGCGAACAAUUUUUGUUGGGUAAAGAGCAUAAUUCAAAAGGAAAAGAAACCUAGAUGAUAGUUUUUCAAGGCACGUGACAGCAGAUGCAUCUAUGCUGAUUGAUUUUCCAAGAAAGGAGCGUGGAUAUGUCCCAUAUGUUGAGAAUAAUAAAGGCACAAUUUUAGGUAAAGGUUUUGUAGAAAGAUAAAUGCUAGCAACACUUACUUUUCAACACUCUCCUCCAACAAUGUUAUUAAAGAUGUUAUCCAUGUUGAAUGAUUUAAACACAAUCUUUUAUGCAUAAGUCAAUUUAAUGAUAAUGGGUAUUUAAUUACUUUUAAUAUCAAAGUUGCAUAAUUGAGCACAAUACUAAAAAGGAAAAUGAGUGGAAAAGGAGUUGACGAAUCAAUAAGUGAGAGGGACUAACUCCAAAAAAAAAUAUGACAAAGGGUCAAAUCCCAAAAAAGCAAAAUUGACAAAAUCUUUAAUCCUUUCAUCUUCUCAAACACUACUCUUAACAUUUUCUCCAUUAUCUUUGUCCAAAAUCUUUCAUAUUCAUACCUAACACCUCUUAAUCUUCAUCUAGAACUGAAAAUCCAUAAUCUAACAACCCAAAACCAUCAUCAACAUAAAAAUCAUAAAUUACCACAAAAGUUUACAACCAAAUAGACGAAAGAUUUAGAAAGAAAAAAAAAUUAACAACAAGAUAAAAUGAUUUGCUCUCUCAACCUUAAUAUUUGUUUGCAUUCAUCUUUAAGUUUAACAACAUUUUUCAAAGAAACUGCUUCAAAUGCCACAUUAAACCACAUUGAAGCACAAAAACCAUCUAAAUUUACAAACACGGUUCCUAUAGUGUAAUUCUUAUUAUAGCCAACAGAAACUUCAAUUUCUUCAUCCCAUUGGUUGGUCAUUUCUAAAAUAAUGGAAUCAAUUUAGAACCAAAUGUUGUAACUCUUCAUGGAAAUCUUUCAUAUACAUUGGAACAUUUGGCAAAGGGGUACUUAAUGAACCUUAGCCUUGAUUCAAGUGUAUAUGAUCAUAACCUUUGACAAAGGGAUGUUUAAUGAACCAUAACACUGAUUCAAGUCAAAUGGGUGUGUUCUCCCAUGUGAAGGCUCAUAUAAUGACAUAGAAAUAAUUAUUGGCAUUUGGGAAUUAUUUGGACAGAAAAAACAUGAAUUUUGUUACAAUAAUAACAUAAUUCUCUCUCAUUCUCUUACUCUAAAUCAUCAAUCAAUUCUCUAAUGCAUGAGUAAAUUGCUGAAACCAUAAACCUGUAAAAUACUGUUAGGAGAUACAUUUGGUGUGGUUGUGUAAUACACAUCAAGGAACUCAUAAUAUCUUGAAUGGGAUUCACUGAUCAUUCCCAUCACAUCCAAUAUACAGUUAUUGGUGGGGCGAAUCGUGUAACACCCCGUUUUCCCAACUUAUAAGUUUGAACAAUAAUCAGAGUAAAACGUCACAUAAACGGGAUAUCGCACUUCUUAAAAAUCUCAAAUAGAUAAAUAACAAUUUAUCUUUCAAAGUAAACUUCAACGUAAACGCAGCGGAAUUAAUUCGAAAACCAUAAAUUGUCUUGGCACGCAGGCUUCAUCAAAUCACAUCAUAACUUCAGUUCAACAACAGUAAUCAUAAUUUCAAAAGUUAAUACAUAAAGGAAUAGAAGCAUGCAAUCAAAGACCCCAUCCCGUUACGUAUCAGAGCAACCUAAGACUCAGUGAGGCAAGGCCACUCACGACAGCACUGAUACAAAAUUAGCAAGUGUACUAAAAAUAUAUCGAAGUAAUAAAAUUUAUAAGUUCAUAUCCACAGGGACUGUUUCAAUUUCUACUUGGAAAAAACGUUAAAAUAAAGGAUGUAUUAAAUUCAAGAGUUCCCUAGGCAGUUGAGUUGAUUUUUGUAACAUAAACGUAAUAAAAACAAUAAAAGUUGGUUUUUAGAAAAUUAGAGAAAGAACUAGGUCUUUUGAAUCAUCUAUUCAUCACUCAUUAGUAAUCUGCACCUAAAUCGUAUGACUGUUAUUCAGUUUACAACAAUUAACAAAAUAGCUCAGGUCAAUCCCUUGACUCAGAGCCCUCUUUUCUAAUUAUAAUUCCCUAAUUCCUUAGGUGAACCUAUAAUCAUCAAAGGUUUUAAGUCCGUUAAUUUUAUAAUCGCAACCUAACAACUUUCCAUCCCUAGAUUGUCCGUGAACAGCAUAAAUAAAUCUGAGUUAUAAGCUGGUGUCAGCAGUCCUAUAAUCUCUAAUAUCAAUUAUAUUGAGUCAGAAUCAUAAAAGCAUUACACACAAUUUAUACCGAAUAAACUAGAAUAACUUUCAUAAUAAUUCAGAGCUACAGAUUACUUGGUCAUGAGCUAGAACAGAAUCAUCUAUGACCUAAUCAAUGGAAAUUAGCCACUCAUAAUAAAAGAAUUUAAACAACAAGGUUAAAAGAAAUUACAAAGAGGUGUUUUGCUCAUCAGAAUUUCUUCUAUCCGUGGUGCAUACCGUCUUCUAUCUCUCUAUGCGUGCGUGCGUGCGUUUUGCUUUGGAAUCCAUUCUUUCCAUUCCAUGCUCUGUCCCCCAAAACCGUAAUGCAUAAAACGUGAAUCCUCAGGCGGUAUGUGGCUAGCUUCUUAUAUAUAUCAUUGUGACCUGGUUGCUAUUUUUAAUUCUUCUUCGGGUCACAUAAUCUUGGGUCAAAGCCCACUUGUUUUCUUAAUGCAAAUACUUGAAUUAUUUUCACCACUCAUUCAAUUAUUAUCACACUUUUGUUUUUCUUGGUUGGCCAAUAAACUUAUUUCCUUCCUUCAAGUGGCACUCUAAUUGACCAAUAGAACACUAGUAGACUUAAUAAAUUAAUAACAACAAUUUAUUUAAAAUGACUCUAAAUUAAAUAUUAAACUAAUGAAAAUAGACUAAGUAGUUAACUAAAAAGACUCCAAAUAAAGUGUAUGACUGACUGUCAUCAAACACAACAGCAACCUACUAUGGAUUACCUGCAAGUUACUCAUACGAAUAACAACAUUUCCAAGCAGAAGGGGUGAGAUUUCACAAAACAAUAAUAUUAAGCAUAUAAUUCAACAAUUAUAUUUAACAACAUAAAACAUCUUAUUAAUCAACACUGAUAAUAAUAUUUCACAAAUCACUUCAUAAUAAUUUCAACUCAAUCAUUUAAUCAUCAUCGACUCGACAAAUGUGACUAUGCAACUUAGACCUCUUAUAUGCAUGUGGUACCAAUACAGGGCAUAAAGCCCCCAUCGUUAUUUGAGUAUUAAUAUACUUCUAGGGCAUCAAGCCCCCAUCGCUAAUUUUGAGCUAAUGCUCCAACGCGGUGAGUACAAAAAUCCAGGGCAUCAAGCCCCCAACUAUGAAUGCUAAUGCAUGGACUCGACCUCUUAAAACAACUUAAUUCGACAACCUCUUAUAUUAGUCCAAUAAUUUGGAACAUCAACAUCUUAGACCGACUCAUGCAGCUUAGUUAAAUAACAAACAACAACAUGUGCAGUGUACAACAACAUGACAUAAUUAUAUCAAAUUCAAUUCAUCAGCAUCUUUUGUAUACAAACAUUCUUCAAGUAAUGCAUAAACUUUAUAACACUUCAUAAUCAGCAACAACAUAUCUUAUUCAUCUUCACAGAUUACGGUUAACCUCACUAUUAAGUCUUAAUCCUACCCAAGGGUCCGAUCCUCGACAACCCAUGCAACAAAGGUCGCAAAAUCUAACAAGUCACUAUGUUUCUGGGUCACUCACGAGGCGAGGGCCUCUGCUCGCCGUGGCGAGUUCAGGUUAGAAUCCCAUAAGUUUAAUUCCAGGUUCAAUCUCGUCCUACACUCUUCACUAAUCAAUAUUCGACAUGUUCAGGCACUCAAAGGCAUCUAAGGUUCAACUCAAAAAUCAAAUAUACGAAAUCUUACAUGCUCUCUGGUCAUGCUCGCUAUGACGAGUUCAUCUAUUCGCUGUGGCGAGGGAGAAUGGUUCGCUUGGAGAGCGAUGAACUUCAUCACUCGCGAGGUGGGGAUCAUCGUUCGCGAGGGCGAGCGAUGAAUGUAGGCUCGGGCAGAAGUGCAAUUUUUACGAAAAUUCAUCUUUUCACAUGGUUUUAAGCCUAACAUUGAUUCCAUAAUUCAUCCUACAUAUUAUCUAAGGUCUAGGAACAGUUUCUACAUCAAUCUAACAACUUUUCACCGUUUAAUCAUGAAUUCACUCAAUUUGACCUAAUUUCAAUUUUUCUUAAAACUCAUCCUAAUUCAUGCUAAAUAUAACCAUUGAUUCAUAGACUUAAUAAGAUUGCAAAGUUAGUCGCACCCUUACCUUGUUUUGCAUGUUUUCUUUGUAAGUUGCUCUCUGUACAUCAGUGGCAUAUGCAGGAAGCUCUUCAUACCCAUUAUGCACAAGAUCACUCACAUCUUGUGCGCCAAACAAGGAUCUCAUCAAGGCACUCCAUCAUUCCCAGUUCUUGCCAUUAAGAAUCAAAAUGUUUGAUCCAAAACCGUUAUUGUUCAUCUUCAUUAUUCUUCAAGAAACCAGAGAAAUUAGUGCACACACUUCACUCAGUGUUUUCCAAUGAUGAUUCCGCUCACUUUUCACUCGUGUUUCACUAUGGAUUUAACCCAAGCUCUCUAUACCAAUUGUUAGAACAAAAACUGUGUUCUAUGCAGCAAAAGUGCUUAUAGAAAUAAGCUGUUUUGGGCAAGAUGAGAAAAUAACAGAAAGUUGUAAAACUAAAGAGAAAAUAAUGGAGAGAAUAUAUUUGCAAUGUGAAUCUCAUUCAUCGUAUUAAGUUUCACAAUACAAAGCCUUAUAUAGGCACAAAAGAGUCACUUGCUUGUAGAGCAAGUAAUCUCACUAACUAUUAGAUUUUGAAACAAACUUAACUAACUAUUAGUUACAUGGCAGUUAUUGAUUAAGAUUCUAAUACUCCCCCUUAAUCAUAACUGCUGAACAUCAAAAAUACCUAGUUUCUUCCUCAAAAAUUCAAAUACGUGAAGUUUCACUGCUUUUGUAAAACCAUCUGCAAGCUUCACUGCUUUUGUAAAACCAUCUGCAAGCUACAGUUAUUGGUUAAUAUUCUAACAUCUUUCAUGAUUGGAAGAUUGAGGAAUUUCUUGAUUUCACAUCAUUGGAAGAGUCUCUCAUAGGGGAACCAGACAAAUAAUAGUGAGUUUUCAUCUUUGUGAAUCAAGGAGAUAAUGGUGUUUGUGUUGCCUUCAAACACCAUAAAGAAAACAAGAUCAUCGCGAAAAUUUAUAGGAAUAAAGUGAUUCAAGUCCUUCUACAACAAAUGCACUAGAGUGGACGAGGUCAAUAGGUAACUGGUGAAAUUGUAAUUGCAAUAUCAUUUUCAAUGCAUCGAAACCCAAAGAGGAAUGCAGGAAUUUGUUAGAUAGAAUGAACAGUCCAAAUUGAUGGAGCCGCGCUCUUGUGUGGUGAAGAACACAUGAUUUCCUUUGUCUAGACUUGGGUGGUGAGGAUCGUGAUUCAAUGGACCACCAUGUGUUUGGUCGACGAUUUGGGUUGGGGAAAGUCUGAAACAGUUAUAAACCAUUAAGAAGUUUGUAUAGAAUGCAUUAAACAUUUACAGUACUAUUAAAUUUUAUAUAGGCAUAAUUCAUCCACAUAAUUUGAUAACAGGAAAUCGACAUCAGAUAUUCGUUGAUUUCUCAUAGAUCCAUCUUAACUGUAGCAACUGUUAAGGGAAAUAUGGCUGUAUUGCUUCUAGAGGACAUUCUAAAAUUUAAGAAUUCUCAUUUUAUAAGCUUGAUGUUGAUGUAUAUUAGUUUGCUUGUAUACAGGGUCAUGGCUUCCCAAUUGAGAAUUAACAUUAGCGAACUCUCGUCCCUUCGAGGACGUCCGGAAAAAUUGGAACGAUACAGAGAAGAUUAGCAUGGCCCCUGAUAGAUAUUUUUAGCAAGUGCACUAAAUACUAUCGAAGUAGUAAAAAAUAUCGUUCCCACAAGGACUGUGUUAAUCUCAAUUUAGAAAUAAAGUAAAUAUUUAGGAUGUAUAAAUUAUUUUGUUUAGAUUUUAUUUGAUUGCAUAAAAUUAAAUAACAUAAAAUAAGAACAAUUCAAUUCUGUUUAAGUAGAAAGCUAUGGUCAGUAGUCAUUCAUUCUCACUAAAUCAUGUUUAUAUUUGAUCAGAAUAUAAAAAGCAUUAAGAACAAUUGAAUUGAAUAAAAACUAGAUUGUCAUUCACAAUAAAUAGAGUUUCACAGCAACAUGGUUCAAUUAGGGUUACAAAGAAUCAUCUCAGACCUGAUCUCUAAGAGAUUUAGCUACUCAUAAUUGAGUUUACAAAUAGCAUAAUCAAUAGUGGAACCAAAACAUACAUGAACUGAUAGAAGGUUGAAGAAAUCGCCCUCCUAGCCGUCUUUAGGUCUCAAAAUCGCACUUUGCUCUCUCCAAAUCGUAACCCAUUGUCUUUGGAAUAGACUUCAGCUUAAAUAGGCACAGAAUUUCGCCUAAAAUGGUGCCACGAUUUAAGUAAAUCGUGACACGAUUCUCCUUGAAUCGCAAAUCACUGAAUUAGGGUUUCCUCAUAUCGUGCCACGAUUAUGCCAUCGUGACACGAUUUCUUCAAUGUCGAAGCUUGAUUUUGGUCUUCUAAAAUCGUGUCACGUUUUUACCAAAUCGUGACACGAUUCUCUUCUUUGUAUUUUCUUCAGUUUUCUACUCUUUUGCUGCAUAAGUUGCCUUGUGAACUCCAAUUUGUGAUCAAACUACAUAUAAAAAGACUCUAAAAAUAGCGAAUGAUGGACUGUCAUCAGCCCCUGCGCAAGGAUGACACGAGAACAUUACCGACGUCUCAUAUUGAUAACAAAGUGACAUAGUUAGCAAGCCUAGGAUAGAUAAUUAGCUGUUUUAAAGAGCUUUUGAAUUUGUAAAAAUGUGCAUCAAAAUCUUCAUUUCUUCCUUGCUUAUUAUCAUUAACCAUUUUUUCUAAAACCUCUUACCAAUAAGAAAAUUGAGUUAUUUAAAACGGGCUUUCGCUUUUGUAUUGACUUGUGGAUUUAGUCCUUUUUAUUAAGGUUCCUCAUUUCAUUAAGAUUUCUUGUGGUCACUUUUUCCACUGAUGUGGCGUUUGCUUUUAAAGAUUCAUUUGACGCCAAAACUGCAUCUUAAAAAUCCUUUUUGAUUUUGUGCCUUAGCCUCUCAGCUAAUAGAACAACCUUGGCCUCUUGAAUACUUGAAAAGUAAUAUAAUUUUCUGUAAAUAGAUAUUAUUAUACCUUAUUUUAGCAAGUUUCAUAGAGUGAAAUGAUUAGGUGCGAAGCUAGUAGACCAGAGGUUUUUAUGCAGGCUUCAAACUAAUACUAUUAUAAUGAAUUUUCUUCCUGGCUUGAUAGCUCUCAGACGUAGGUGACAACUUGUGUCUUUUACUUUCUGUCUUUAUCUUUAGUUUGUUAUGUGUGUUGUCACGAUGUCUCGACAUCAUUCUUGACAUUACAAAUGUCUUGACAUCGUGUUAGACAUCUCUUUCUUGCGUUUCAGAAUUUCAAAAUUAUUGUUUGUUUUGGCUAAUGUAUAAGGUUUUCUUUGGGGGCUUGAUUAAUAAAAAGAAGUAUAAUAGGAGGAACUUCUAUGUAAGUUUCGUUGCCAUUUGGGAUUAAUUUUCAUGAUUAUAAGAAGGUUGGUGGUUAUAAUUUAGACAAAUAACUAGUGGAUCAUAAUUUGCUCAAAAACAAAAAACAACUAGUGGUGCAUAAUUUAAGACAAAAACAUUUGCAACGACAAGACCUUUCCGAGUACAUGUGCAUAACAAAAGACAUAGAUGAUCAUGAAGACCUUUCCAAAGAGAGAAAGAAAUACACGUCUUUUUUUUUGGUGUUUAUGCAAAGGACAUAUUUUUUAUACUCACUAGAAGUCAAGCUGACACUUUCCUCGAAAGAAAAAAAGUAGUCAAGUUGACACUUAAGCCAUCAAAAUUGAUUCAGUCAACACUUACUAAGGUUCUCAUUUCAUUAAGAUUUGUUGUGGUUACUCUUACCAAGUCAUUGAUCUAUAUGAUAGUAACCAAAUCUAGUACUUCCUCCGUCUCAUUUUAAGUGUCGUCUUUGCCAUAAAAACAGAAUGAAAUCGGAAAAUUUUUUAAACACCUAUCACCUGUACUCCCAUAAAAACCCCUUCAAAAAACUAUCAAACGGACCAAAAGUCAUAUUCAAACCGUCAUUCAGAUUCUUUCAAUGUAGAAGGGUUUUCUUAAUAAUUUAAUAGUAUUUUAUUUUAGUCAAACCUAAGUAAUUUUCUAGAACUUUCUAUUAUUAUAUUGUUUUGUUUUAUUUCGGUCUACGAGUUUGUUAUUUCUUUUGCUAUUUAAACAGAACAUUAUGUAGCUUAAAAGACACUUUUUGAUUCAAUAAAAUUAUUCGAGAUUUUCUCUCAAUUCUGGUGGAUUCCGGAAACCUUAUUUGAUAGGUUUGUCGCUUGCAACCUGUCUCUUUAUAUUUUAGGUUUAGUGUUUGCUAACCCUUGCUUCCGUAUUGCUUCAGUUGGUAUCAGAGCAGGUUUCUCCUGUUCGUUUCCUAACGUGAUCAGCCAUAGGAGAUCAACCGGUUACAAAAGGAGAAUUUGACAGUUUAAUUGCGACCGCCAAAGCUCUGUAUCAAAUGGCGACAUUGAUAACAACAACAACGGGGUUGACAACUAAGAUUGACAACCGCAACAACAACAACUGCAACUACAACCAACAACAGAAAUCCGAACAGGGGAGGACAACCAAUUCCAAUUAUUAGGGUUUAUAUGAUUACCACAUAAAGGCUGAUAUUCGAUUGUUUUACGGAACAAUGGAUGUAGAAAAAUUUUUGGAUUGGGAGAUUGAUGUUGACAGAUUUUUCGACGUCAUUGACGUCCCGGAAAGCAAGCAAGUUAAGAUGGUUGCGAACAGACUGAAAAGUAUCGCAGCUGUUUGGUGGGAUAGACUCAUUGUGCAUAGACAGAGACAAAGAAAAAACCCUAUUUCAACUUGGAGAAGGAUAAAACAGCUUAUGCUUAAAAGAUUUAACUCUCGGGAUAGAUUCUCUCUCUCACCGCUUGUAUCAAUUAAAAAUUUGGAGAGGAAGCAGCUCCCGUCGCCGCGGAUGUAUCAAACGUCGGUGAAGGGUGGUUAUGAUGAGAAUAUGAAGGAGAAGUUGAGUAAGGAUCUCGGAUAUGGUGGGAAAUUAUCGCAUGAUGCUGAUAUGGAAAAUAAGAAGGCGUUGACAAUAAAAAGAUCAAACUUCCUGUCAUGGAAGUAAUUGAUGUAUUAGUAGCAGAUAAAGAGAGUUCGACAAUAAAUGCCCAACCUGAUGUAUUUGGUACUGGUCAGCCUCAGCCUUUGCCACCAGUUGCUUCAAAAACCGUAAAGAAGUUACCUCUUAGUAAGAGGUAACUUCUUUACGGUUAGUGCAAUGACAUCAAUAAUAGAUGGCUUGAAGAAAUUGUAUGUGGAGCGAUUAAAACCAUUGGAAGUCACUUAUGAUUCAAUGAUUUUGUAUCCCCGCUACUAAAAUCAUCGGAUCUUCAAUAGCUAGCUGUUGUCGAAGAAACCACCGGAUCGAUAUGUUGUUAUAGUUAUCGACCAACAAUCUGAUUAUGUUAUUUUACAAAAAUUGUCACCACUCAUGGAUUGGUCAUCUAGUACCACGAUUGUAAAUCUAAAUUUCAUGCUUAGCCAAACACAUAUCAAAUCUAGUCUAAGUGUUUAAUGGUGUUACAAGGACAAGCGUCACAUGAAAGACAAACAAAAGCUCUCGCAAGUUGAAUUAUUGGUCGUUGAUGAAGCUGCUGCUAUUUCUUGUCUUCUACUAUUAAUGGUUAUGAAGGUAUUGGACGCUCUUUAUCAUUAAAACUUUUGCAUCAAUUGGAAGGUCAAAGCAAUGAUUCUGCCAAGACAACAGAGGGCACUGAUUCUGGUUUUAAGAAAAUUCAACUGAAUCAAUCCAUAAGAUAUGCUUCUGGGGAUCACAUUGACAACAGGCUUAGUAGAUUACCUCCAUGUAGUGAGUGUGAUCUAUACUAUGUCAAUCGGGAUACCCUAUUUUCUUAUCACAAAGAUAGUGAAUUAUUUUUUCAGCAAAUGAUGUCCUUAUAUGUCGCAUCACAUCACAAUAAUUCUAAACAGCUUUGUGUUGUAACAUUUGGAGACAACAGGGUCAUCAAGGCAUGGGAUGCAGUCACUGGUGCAAAGCAAUAUACUUUUGAGGGUCAUGAAGCGCCUAUAUAUUCUGUAUGCCCUCAUCACAAAGAAAGUAUUUAGUUCAUCUUUUGGACAACAACUGAUGGGAAAAUAAAGGCAUGGUUAUGAUAGAUAUUUAGCAAGUGUACUAAAAACUAUCGAAGUAAUACAAUUAAGUUCGUUUCCACGAGUACCGUGUUAAUCUCAAGUAAACAAUUGCAUUAUGAAAUAAGAUGAGUAAAGUUUAUUUUAGUGCCCGAGGCAAUAGGUAUGUGUGCAUAAAAAGUAAAUAACAUAAAAUAAAGUUGUUUAGAAAAGAUAGAGAGAGAUAUGAUUAGGUCUUUCGAAUCCUCUGAGGUCCCCUAAUUGGUACAAUGCACCUAUUUCUCAUGAAUAUUUCUAUAGUUUUACGAUGAUUAACUAAAAUAGCCCUAACCCUUGACUUAAGACUCUCUUCUCAGACUACAGUCCCUAAUUCCUUAGGUGAUCUAAUAUUCUUUGAAGGUUUUAAGAACGUUAACCUAAUAUCACAAAUAAACGAUUAUCCAAUCCUAGACUAAUUAACCCUGUUUAUUUGAACAUUUCAAUUAGGUCUAAGUGUGAAACCUAUGGUCAGUAGUCAUUCUCACGAAAUCAUGUUUAUAUUUGAUUAGCAUAUAGAAAGCAUUAAGAACAAUUAAAUUGAAUAAAACUAGAUUGAUAUUCACAAUAAUAGAGUUUCACAACAAUAUGAUUCAAUUAGGGUUACAUCAGAAUUUUCUCAGACCUAAUCUCUACGAGAUUUAGCUACACAUGGUGACUAAACAAGUUAUAAAAGAUAAACACAUACCCUAGAAAAUCAAGGAGAAGAUAGAUUCUCUCCUGAAGCUCCAAAGUAGCCUUCAUCUUGAACUGCUUCAGUUCUGAACCAGAAAUUCUGAAUGAGGAAUGCAAAUAUUUAUAGUGAGAGUUUCUACUUGGAUUUAGGUUAAAAGUGCGGGCUUUACCCAAAAUAAUAACAAGAAAAGACAAAUAUGCCCCGAGGUAUCAGAUGUGCUAGGAACAUUGUUCAUGUGUUAGGCGCAUGAGGUCUUUCUUGGGCCCAAUUCUCCGAUUUUCCGUCGUUUUAGGUUUUCGUCUUCAAAUAACUUGCCUCCAGACUAGGGAACAUAAUUUUUCCCUAUUGUAAGUCUUCUGAGGACUCGUGAAUCUUCAUUCUUGUCUUCCCAAGGUCUUGACAAUUCUUCAGUUUUUCUUGCUUUAAUUACUGUUUAAGCUUGCUUGUGAACUCCAAAUAUCAUAAAUUUACAUAAAAAAUUACGUAAUGACAAGAUGUCAUCAGGUUAUAUGAUAACAUGGGUUCUGGGGUUGAUUAUGAUGCAUUUGGCCAUUCAUCUACCACAUUGUCAGAUAGUGCUUCUUGCGGCACCAAUAAAGAAGGGGAGUCAUUUCUAGUGGAAUGGAAUGAAAGUGAAGGAGCUAUGAAGCAUACAUAUCAUGGUCUUAGGGAAGAGAUCUACAAGUGUAUGUUCAAUUUGAUACCACCAAGACACAUUUACUUGUUGUUUAUGAAACUCAAAUAGCCCAUAUGCGAUCCCCCAAAAUUGGAAUGCCUAAGGCAGUGGGUGCAUCGGGAAGCUAGUAGUCCAAUCCAAUCACACAUGUUACAUAUUCAUGCGAUAGUCAAUCAAUAUAUAUAAGCUUUGAAGAUGUUAGUUUGGAGAAAGAAAGUCGUGAUGAUAGAGUGUAUCAUGAAAAUUACUUCAAAUAUGUGAAUAUGUCUGAAUGUCACUGGCUGUUCUACACCGAAAAAUGAUUGAUAAGGGAAGUAUUUCUGUUCCAACAAUUCUACUUAAAUGGAAGACUUUACCUCCUAAGUACGGCACUUGGAAUUUUGCUGCUAAUGCUGAUGUGUUUGUGGUCAUAAGUGAUCAACCGGACAAGAUAAAAGAAUAUGAAGCUCAAGACGUAAAAUGCAAGGAAUUGACAUACACUAUACAGGAAAAGUCUCUAGAAGAUGAAGGCAUGGACUUUCAAGUUAAUUCAUGGUACUUGGAUAAUGCUAGUUGGAACCAAUCAUGGGAGUUUCCCUCGUGACAUUCUUAUUAUUUACCUGAGAUUUGUAAAAUGGAGGAUCUAGAAAUUAUUCGGCAAGCUACUGCAUUUCUUCAAUGGGAUCCAGGAGGGUGGUCUCUUGUUCAGAGGUGGAGGAGACUGAUGUAGGAGAGUUUUCUUAGUAAUUUAGUAGUAUUUUAUUUUAGCCAAAUCUUAGUAAUUUUCUAGAACUUUCUAGUAUUAUUUUGUUUUGUUUUAUUUCGGCCUACGGGUUUAUUAUUUCUUUUGCUAUUUAAAUACAACAAGGGUAUUUUUUACAUUUUCAUCAAAUCAUAAAAAACAAGGGUAUUUUUUACAUUUUCAUCAAAUCCUAAAAAGUUUAGCUUCUCUCUUCCUUCUUUCAUUCUUACGCAAAACGGUGUUUAUCUGCAAAAUGCAAAACGUAUCUUCUCUCUGCUUUUCUGCUGUUCUGUGAAACUUCUUCACCUCUGCUGUAAAUCUUCCUCUACUUUGUCGUGUUUGCUCUGUUAUCCUGUUAUUUUUUUGUUUAACAAUCUCAAACUCUGUCCUAUUACUUUUUUGUUCUAGUUUUCUUUGUAAUUAUUGAUUCCAAACCCCAUUCUACUCUCUUUGUUUCUGUUUGUAGUUUGUACAAACAAUCCUCUGUUUUGUUUAUAUAAAACUCUAUUCUGCUCUCUAUGAAAUAGCGGUCAUUGCGCUAUGCGUUAUCCCGCUAUAGCAUUUUUGGGGUCGCACGCUACGCGCUGCUAUCCGCUAUUAACUACUAUGAUUUACGGUACUAUUAAAUUUUAUAUAGGCAUAAUUCAUCCACAUAAUUUGAUAACAGGAAAUCGACAUCUGAUAUUCGUUGAUUUCUUAUAGAACCAUCUUAACUAUAGCAACUGUUAAGGGAAAUAUUGUUGUGUGGAUUCAAGAGGACAUUCUAAAAUUUAAGAAUUCUCAUUUUACAAGGUUGAUGUUGAUGGAAAAGGUUGAUGUUGAUUUUGUGCCAUAACCUCUCAGCUAAUAGAACAACCUUGGUCUCUUAAAUACUUGGAAAGUAAUAUAAUUUUUUUUAUAAAUAGAUAUUAUUGUACCAUAUUAAGCAAGUUGCAAAGAGGGAAAAGAUUAAUCUUAACAUAUAUACAGAAGUCAUAUACAUUUGUAAGCACGUUGAAUAAAUUAUCAUAUAGUUGACAUUGUCACCUUAAACUUGAAAUUUUACAAUACAAUUUGAAUGAAGUUUUAAUCUUUUUUUACAAAGUCAACAAUGAGCUGAGAGGCUAGCCCAGUGAUGUUAGUUGUUGCAGCUGCGUACACUAUAAUGAAAGAAUAUUUUAGUAAAGUUUGUAACCAAUGAUUCUUUUUAUUCUUUACUGCAUUCCCAACCAUAAUACCCUCUUGCACACCAUGCCUCUCAUCAUUUAUCUUCUUCACUAUAACUGCAUCAAAUACACUUGAAAGAAUGCUCGUAUAAUACUCAAAUUGUUCUUGUUCCGCAACCACGUUAACAUCGAGCCACAUGAAGACCAAAUCAAUUGCUUUAUUGAUCUUUUCCUUUUCUUUUGACGAAAGCAUCAAACUAAUGUCCUUAUCAUUUAUCGCAUUCCUCAUGUUGUAUGCAUACUUCUCUAAUACAUCUCUCGCUUCUAGCUUCUUCAUAUACCUCUUGUCUUCAUCUUUGUACUUCUCAGCUUCUUUGAUCAUCCUCUCAAUUUCCUCCUUUGACAAUCUUCCCUUAUCACUUAUUAUUUUAACCUUAUUAUUAACUCCAAGGAAUUUCUCCCUGCUACAGAUGUGUAAGAUGCCAUCGUCAUCGAUUUGGAAGCGGAUUAUGAUCUGAGGAACACCUGCCGCAGCAGGAGGAAUUUCCAACACAAAUCUUCCUAGCAAGUUGUUGUCCCUAGUUAUUUUCCUCUCACCUUCAUAAACAUCAAUUAGAAUAUUCAUUUGGUUGUGCAAAUGUGUGGUGAAUACAUGUUCCAUUUUGGCAGGAAUUUUGGUAUUCCUAGGGAUUAUUAUUUCCAUAAUCCCCCCAUGUUUCUCCAAUCCAAGGGACAAAGGAAUGACCUCCGACAAUAGUAAAUCUUGAACCUUCUCACUAAACUCACCACUCAAUAUAGAAGCAUGGACAGCAGCGCCAUAUGCCACCGCCUCAUCGACAUUGAUGCUUUUGCAUAAAAGCUUCCCCCCGAAGAAAUCACUCACCAUUUGUUGCACUUUUACAAUCCUAGUAGAGCCGCCAACAAGGACAACAUCAUGAAUGCUACUCUUGUCCAUCCCACUAUCAAUUAUACACUUUUCCACAAUCUCCAUGCACUUGUCGAAGUGAUUCUUGUUGAGUUCCUCAAACUUUGCGCGACUAAUCGAUGAGUAGAAAUCUAUACCUUGAUUUAAACUCCCUAUCUCAAUGGUGGUCGUAGUAUUGGAAGAAAGUAUCCUUUUUGCUUUCUCGCAAGCAGACUUCAACCUCCUAAGGGCUCUUGGAUCUCCACUAAUGUCGAUUUUAUACUUCCUCGAGAACUCUUUCACAAAAUGGUUCACCAUUGUAUUAUCAAAGUCUUGUCCCCCAAGGUGAGUGUCUCCUGCAAUCGCCUUAACAUUGAUAGCACCGUUCUCAAAUGUGAGAAUGGACACGUCCAGAGUACCACCACCUAAAUCAAAAAUGAAAACAUGUCUACAUCCAUGAUUAAAAGGUUUCAUGUCAAGACCAUAUGCAAUUGCAGCUGCAGAAGGCUCAUUGAUUAUUCGCAUAACAUUGAGGCCAGCAAUAACACCCGCAUCUCGAGUGGACUGGCGUUGUGAGUCAUUAAAGUAAGCAGGCACAGUUAUAACAACAUCCUUCACUGUUGAUCCAAGGUAAGCUUCAGCUAUCUCGGCCAUUUUUGCCAAUACCAUCGAUGAGAUUUCUUCAGCAGCAAAAUGCUUUUCCUCGUCAUUAUAGUUAACAACAAUCAUGGGUUUGUCAUUGAGGUCGCCAAUUACUUUGAAGGGCCACGACUUCAUAUCACUUUGUACGAUUGAGUCGCAAAACUUCCUACCAAUUAGCCUCUUUGCAUCUACAAAACAAACAAAAGAAUUGAGUACACUAUGAGAAAAAAUGAUGUACCAUUUUCAUUGCAUUUGAAUAAAUCUGUAUGUAUAAAUAGGAUAACUCUAAUAUAUCUUGAAUAUGAAAAAUUGUUAUAUAUUAAUUAUGAAUCAAAUUACACUGAUGUAACAUGUAUCGUUAUAUCACUAAAUAACUUUUUAUUGGAUAUUUUCAUUACAAAAUUCAUAGCUAGAUUAAAAAUUAUUUUGCAUAUAAUACAUCUAUAAAAUCAUUUGAUAUAUAAUAUACAGUUGAUUUAAAAUUAUUUCCAUAUCAAAUUCAGUUGGUUCCAAACCCAGCUUGCAUCCAAAAGAGUUAAUAUAUGUUUACCUCAUGUAAUAUUAGCGGUUUCUGAUUACACCCUAUAAAAAAAUUUGAUUCCAACUCUGUAAUUUGAAGAUUGUUUGGAUUUAGACUUUCAUGAAUUUUGACCGUACAAAAUCGAUAAAAUGACAUACAUAAACAAAAAUUCGUUCAAAAUACAGAGUGUGAAAGUACCUUAAAUAUUGAAAUUUGAUGUCAUAAAAUAAAACACUAAAGAAUCUUCAAAUAACAGAGUUGAAAUCUAAAAAAGAAACUUUACAGAAGUUAAACCGAAAACCGUUAAUAUUACAUAGGGUAAACAUAUAUUAACCCUAUCGAAAAUAAGAAUUUUAACUAAAAAUAUAAUAUACAUAGGAUAAGUUUCAUGCAUUAAAAUAUCAUAUAUAGUUUGCUCAUCAAACACUAAAAUCAAGGAAAAACAUGAUAGUUUAUCCUAUCAUGUAUCAGUUUAUUCUAAAUAAAAUCAAGAGUAAUUGAGUUUAGAAGCUUUUACCGAAAACAGUGUUGGUUGGGUUGGAUGCAGCCAUAUUGAAAGCAGAAUCACCAAUCAUUCUUUCAGAGUCAGUGAAGGCAACAUAAGAAGGUGUUGUUCUAUUCCCUUGGUCGUUCGGUAUGAUCUCUAUCCUAUCAUGCCUCCAUACAGCAACACAAGAAUAGGUUGUUCCUAGGUCGAUUCCUAUUGCAACUUUCUCACCUUUUACUGUCAUUUCUCUCUUGCAAGGUCACCCAGGUUUUGAGAACAAAUUGUUGUUUGUUUCGGCUAAUGUAUGUAUAAGGUUUUCUUUGAGGGCUUGGCUUAUAAAAAGAAGUACAAUAUGAACUUCUUUGUAAGUUUCGUUGCUGUUUCGGAUUAGUUUUCAUGAUUUUAAGGUUGGUGGUUAUAAUUUUCACAAAUAACUAGUGGAUAAUAAUUUGCUCAAAAACAAAACAACUAGUGGUGCAUAAUUUAAAACAACUAGAAGUCAAGCUGACACUUUCCUCGAAAGAAAAAAAAAAGUAGUCAAGUUGACACUAAAGCCAUCAAAAUUGAUUCAGUCAAAUUCUUAUAAACCGGAGUUUUGCUACUUGCAAGAGUGAAUAUUCUCCUUGGAUAGCAUAUUAAAUCCAUCUAUAUAGGCUGUAACCCUUAUUUGUAAAAUAAAAAGAAAAAAAAUUCAUUAGACGCCAAACUUGCAUUUCAAAAAUCCAUUUUGAUUUUGUGCCUUACCCUAAUAGAACAACCUUUCUUUCCCAUGGAAAAGGUUGGGAAUUCCGCCUUUAUUGCGAUAUGUCCCUAGUCGCUUAAAUGCGACAUUUGAGUUGUCUUGUGUUGGCUUUGAGGGGGUGGAUUUAGUCCCAUAUGGGUUGAAUUGGACUAAGUGUAUAGAAGAGGAGGCACUCCAUGCUUUACAAGCCGGUUUUGUCAAGAUGAGUUAGGCUACAAAUUUCUACGGUUCGCAAAUACUCCAGAGUCGGAAGAGCAUUUUUUUUGUAAAGUGUUUUCCCUAGUUAUUUUCCUCUCACCUUCAUAAACAUGAAUUAGAAUAUUCAUGUGGUUGUGCAAAUGUGUGGUGAAUACAUGUUCCAUUUUGGCAGGAAUUUUGGUAUUCCUAGGGAUUAUUGUGUUCAUAAUCCCCCCAUGAGUCUCCAAUCCAAGGGACAAAGGAAUGACCUCCGACAAUUGUAAAUCUUUCUCACUACACUCACCACUCAAUAUAGAAGCAUGGACAGCAGCGCCAUAUGCCACCGCCUCAUCGACAUUGAUGCUUUUGCAUAAAAGCUUCCCCCCGAAGAAAUCACUCACCAUUUGUUGCACUUUUACAAUCCUAGUAGAGCCACCAACAAGGACAACAUCAUGAAUGCUACUCUUGUCCAUCCCACUAUCAAUUAUACACUUUUCUACAAUCUCCAUGCACUUGUCGAAGUGAUUCUUGUUGAGUUCCUCAAACUUUGCGCGACUAAUCGAUGAGUAGAAAUCUAUACCUUGAUUUAAACUCUCUAUCUCAAUGGUGGUCGUAGUAUUGGAAGAAAUCUAUACCUUGAUUUAAACUCUCUAUCUCAAUUAUACACUUUUCUACAAUCUCCAUGCACUUGUCGAAGUCAUUCUUGUUGAGUUCCUCAAACUUUGCGCGACUAAUCGAUGAGUAGAAAUCUAAACCUUGAUUUAAACUCUCUAUCUCAAUGGUGGUCGUAGUAUUGGAAGAAAGUAUCCUUUUUGCUUUCUCGCAAGCAGACUUCUACCUCCUAAGGGCUCUUGGAUCUCCACUAAUGUCGAUUUUAUACUUCCUCGAGAACUCUUUCACAAAAUGGUUCACCAUUGUAUUAUCAAAGUCUUGUCCCCCAAGGUGAGUGUCUCCUGCAAUCGCCUUAACAUUGAUAGCACCAUUCUCAAAUGUGAGAAUGGACACAUCCAGAGUACCACCACCUAAAUAAAAAAUGAAAACAUUUCUACAUCCAUGAUUAAAAGGUUUCAUGUCAAGACCAUAUGCAAUUGCAGCUGCAGAAGGCUCAUUGAUUAUUCGCAAAACAUUGAGGCCAGCAAUAGCACCCGCAUCUCAAGUAGACUGGCGUACGUUGUGAAUCAUUAAAGUAUGUAGGCACAAUUAUAACAACAUCCUUCACUGUUGAUCCAAGGUAAGCUUCAGCAAUCUCGCCCAUUUUUGUCAAUACCAU